rnacentral:misc_RNA from 1 species
GCUGCUGCUGCUGCUGCUCCUAAAACACACAAAACCCCUCCAAUUAAAAGCCGGUGUCCCACCUUUCAACAACUCUCUAAUCACAUGAAAACACAUCAACCCAUGAACUAAAACACAGGCUGCAAGAUCAAGCAUGUAUCCUAUUGUGGAGUAUUUACAGAAAACAAACGAAGUACCAAGCUAGUAAAAACUGCAUCUGGCCUUAAAUUCACGCAAAACAAUAAAAGAAAUCAUAUAUCCCAAAUACGAAUGGCAAGAACAACACCAAAUUAUAGAAAUUUUAUUUUGAAGCGUUUAGCUAGAGAUGAAAAAAUUGAAAAAGGGAUCAUCAACAAUAAGAGCCCUUGUCCUGAGUUCUUAUAUAAAUAAAUCCGAUCAAACAAUAUAUGGAGAGAGAGAGGUACCUGGAAAGGAAAGGAAAGAUGGU